ACCAGUACCGUGAGGGAAAGGCGAAAAGAACCCCUGUGAGGGGAGUGAAAUAGAACCUGAAACCGUGUGCGUACAAGCAGUGGGAGCCUUAAUUUAUUAGGGUGACCGCGUACCUUUUGUAUAAUGGGUCAGCGACUUAUAUUCUGUAGCAAGGUUAACCGUUUAGGGGAGCCGUAGGGAAACCGAGUCUUAAUAGGGCGAUUAGUUGCAGGGUAUAGACCCGAAACCGAGUGAUCUAUCCAUGAGCAGGUUGAAAGUGCCGUAACAGGCACCGGAGGACCGAACCCACUGUCGUUGAAAAGCCAGGGGAUGACUUGUGGAUAGGGGUGAAAGGCUAAUCAAACUCGGUGAUAGCUGGUUCUCCCCGAAAGCUAUUUAGGUAGCGCCUCGGACGAACACCAUUGGGGGUAGAGCACUGUUUCGGCUAGGGGGUCAUACCGACUUACCAAACCGAUGCAAACUCCGAAUACCGAUGAGUGAUAUCCGGGAGACACACAGUGGGUGCUAACGUCCAUUGUGGAGAGGGAAACAACCCAGACCGCCAGCUAAGGCCCCAAAUUCCUAGUUAAGUGGGAAACGAGGUGGGAAGGCAUAGACAGCUAGGAGGUUGGCUUAGAAGCAGCCAUCCUUUAAAGAAAGCGUAAUAGCUCACUAGUCGAGUCGGCCUGCGCGGAAGAUGUAACGGGGCUCAAACUAGGAGCCGAAGCUGCGGAUUUGAAUUUGUUUUCAAGUGGUAGGGGAGCGUUGUGUAAGCCUGUGAAGGUGUGUUGUAAAGCAUGCUGGAGGUAUCACAAGAGCGAAUGCUGACGUGAGUAACGAUAAUGCGAGUGAAAAGCUCGCACGCCGGAAGAUCAAGGGUUCCAGUCCAACGUUAAUCGGGGCUGGGUGAGUCGACCCCUAAGGCGAGGCCGAAAGGCGUAGUCGAUGGGAAAUCGGUUAAUAUUCCGAUACUUGUUUAUAAUGCGAUGGAGGGACGGAGUAGGUUAUGUCAGCCUGGCGUUGGUUGUCCAGGUGAAAGGAUGUAGGCUUACAGUUUAGGCAAAUCCGGACUGUAAUACGGCUGAGAUCUGAUAGCAAGCGGUACUUGUACCGUGAAGUGGCAAAUACCAUGCUUCCAGGAAAAGCUUCUAAGCAAUAGUUAUAAACGAAUCGUACCCUAAACCGACACAGGUGAUCAGGUAGAGAAUACCAAGGCGCUUGAGAGAACUCUGCUGAAGGAACUAGGCAAAAUGGUACCGUAACUUCGGGAGAAGGUACGCUGCCGAUGGUGAUAGGACUUGCUCCUUGAGCUGUUGGCAGUCGCAGAUACCAGGCUGCUGCAACUGUUUAUUAAAAACACAGCACUCUGCAAACACGAAAGUGGACGUAUAGGGUGUGAUGUCUGCCCGGUGCUGGAAGGUUAAUUGAUGGGGUUAGCGUAUGCGAAGCUCUUGAUCGAAGCCCCAGUAAACGGCGGCCGUAACGAUAACGGUCCUAAGGUAGCG
rnacentral:rRNA from 1 species